UGGCAGGUGCCUUUUCAUCUGCCACAUCAUCAAAUGCCACGUCAGUCUAAACAUCAGAAAAAAUCUACCAAUCAAUCAAUAUUCUCUUUCUUUCCUAGGUUGAAACACCGCCAUUGAAAUUUCUCUUUGUCUUCCUCUUCCACCACUGUUGGUUUUCGUCUACUGCCAUUACUGUCGGCUUCCCUCUCCUAGCACCACUACCAUCUUCCAUUUAACAGAAGCUUUGAAAUCAGUUGUAUUCAUGAUUGUGCAGAAGUUGUGGUCUCAACGACCUAGCUUGGAGAAGAGAUUGAAAGUGCUCAAGGAGACUUCUGCUGAAAUUUGUGUCACUCUUCAUUUGGAGGAAGAUGUUUGUAAACGUGCGUACUUGAACAUUCUAAACAGCUUGUUAAUGUUUCAUCUCUAGAUAAUUAUUUUCUAUGUUUAUAGGAACAAAAGCUACAAGACCCUAACAGAUCAGCUACCUUUGAUAAUGCUAAGCUCGGUGUUGAUACACAAAGUUUGUUUGCAGAUUUGAAAGUGGACCAAGUAAAAUAAUUAUUUUUAA